GGCGACCUACGGGACGCAGCAGUAGGGAAUAUUGCUCAAUGGGGGAAACCCUGAAGCAGCAACGCCGCGUGGAGGAUGAAGGUGUUCGGAUUGUAAAUUCCUUUUGUUAGAGAAGAUAAUGACGGUAUCUAACGAAUAAGCACCGGCUAACUCCGUGCCAGCAGCCGCGGUAAUACGGAGGGUGCAAGCGUUACUCGGAAUCACUGGGCGUAAAGAGCGCGUAGGCGGGAUAG
rnacentral:rRNA from 1 species